rnacentral:rRNA from 1 species
GACGAACGCUGGCGGCGUGCUUAACACAUGCAAGUCGAACGGAAAGGCCCUGCUUUUGUGGGGUGCUCGAGUGGCGAACGGGUGAGUAACACGUGAGUAACCUGCCCUUGACUUUGGGAUAACUUCAGGAAACUGGGGCUAAUACCGGAUAGGAGCUCCUGCUGCAUGGUGGGGGUUGGAAAGUUUCGGCGGUUGGGGAUGGACUCGCGGCUUAUCAGCUUGUUGGUGGGGUAGUGGCUUACCAAGGCUUUGACGGGUAGCCGGCCUGAGAGGGUGACCGGCCACAUUGGGACUGAGAUACGGCCCAGACUCCUACGGGAGGCAGCAGUGAGGAAUAUUGCACAAUGGGCGGAAGCCUGAUGCAGCAACGCCGCGUGCGGGAUGACGGCCUUCGGGUUGUAAACCGCUUUCGCCUGUGACGAAGCGUGAGCGACGGUAAUGGGUAAAGAAGCACCGGCUAACUACGUG